UAUUAUGCGUAGAUGGAGAACGGAAUUUAUAUGCUUUGCUACAGAGAGUCGAUGGCUGGUGAAAAUCGAUGCAAUAAAUAAAUUCAAAUCCCUCCUGAGCAGUAUUCUUGAAUCAAAGUGUAAAGAAUACCGGCUAGCCUCGUUACUGGCUUAGGUUUGAUAGAACUGAAAUGAGGUGGUGUAAUUAAUACACAAGCAAGGUGGUACCGCGAGAUAAUCUCGUCCUUGAA
rnacentral:ncRNA from 1 species